GAUGAACGCUGGCGGCGUGCCUAACACAUGCAAGUCGAGCGAACAGACGAGGAGUUUGCUCCUCUGACGUUAGCGGCGGACGGGUGAGUCCCACGUGGAUAACCUACCUAUAAGACUGGGAUAACUUCGCGAAACCGGAGCUAAUACCGGAUAAUAUAUUGAACCUCAUGGUUCAAUAGUGAAAGACGGUUUUGCUGUCACUAAUAGAUGGAUCCGCGCCGGAUUAGCUAGUUGGUAGGGUAACGGCUUACCAAGGCGACGAUGCGUAGCCGACCUGAGAGGGUGAUCGGCCACACUGGAACUGAGACACGGUCCAGACUCCUACGGGAGGCAGCAGUAGGGAAUAUUCCGCAAUGGGCGAAAGCCUGACGGAGCAACGCCGCGUGAGUGAUGAAGGUCUUCGGAUCGUAAAGCUCUGUAAGUAGGGAGGAACAAAUGUGUAAGUAACUAUGCACGUCUUGACGGUACCUAAAGAGAAAGCCACGGCUAACUACGUG
rnacentral:rRNA from 1 species